GAUGAACGCUAGCGGCAGGCUUAAUACAUGCAAGUCGAGGGGCAGCAUGAUUGUAGCAAUACAAUUGAUGGCGACCGGCAAACGGGUGCGGAACACGUACACAACCUCCCAAUAAGUGGGGAAUAGCCCAGAGAAAUUUGGAUUAAUACCCCGUAACAUAACGAUGUGGCAUCACAUUGUUAUUCUAGAUUUUUCGCUUAUUGAUGGGUGUGCGGCUGAUUAGAUAGUUGGCGGGGUAACGGCCCACCAAGUCUACGAUCAGUAGCUGAUGUGAGAGCAGCAUCAACCACACGGGCACUGAGAGACGGGCCCGCCUCCUACGGGAGGCAGCAGUAAGGAAUAUUGGACAAUGGACGCAAGUCUGAUCCAGCCAUGCCGCGUGAAGGAUUAAGGUCCUCUGGAUUGUAAACUUCUUUUAUCUGGGACGAAAAAAGGCUUUUCUAAGUCACUUGACGGUACCAGAUGAAUAAGCACCGGCUAACUCCGUGCCAGCCGCCGCGGUAACAC
rnacentral:rRNA from 1 species